GUUAUUCCUCCCCUCACAGCCUCUGAUCUCUAAACUAGCCUGAUUAUUCAGGGGGCUGUGUGAGGGGGGGAACCACACACUACCUUUUAAAUAUGAAAGGUUGCACUGUCUUUUUAAUUUUAUUAAUUUAAUUUGAAGGUAUAAGUGAAAUUUAGGAAUUAUAGAUAUUCUAUUAUUCACUUUUGAAAAAUGAGAAAUUGCCACCAAAAAAUGGCAAAGGUAAUAAAAGAGCAUUUGCACUGUGUGGUGUCAGAUGUUAGCUUGCCUUGAAUCAAAUCAAACCACAUGAACCACCCUAUUGGUUCUGUGUCAUUAUCUUGUACUGAAGUCACCUGCAAUACAAGAAUCAUUUUUAAGGAAAAGAUGAGAUUUGUCUCUCCUAUUUUUACUUACCCACAAGUCAGAUGUUGGAGUGAGUCACUCCAAGAUGAAUAAAGAAAAAGAAGGAAAAGGUAAAAUAUAUACAUAUGUUAAGGAGAGGUUCAUCUGACCUAUUUUAGACCUCUAGAUACUUCCCCUUUCAGGCUACUUGCCUGAAAGUAAAUAAGCACACAGGAGAGGUGCAAAGAGUCUAGCAACGUAGGCACUUCAGCUAGGAAUAUAAAAAUGUGGCAGAGCUGCUGGUGGGUCUCUGAGCCCCAAAGCUGGGGAAGUUUCAAAUACUUCCAAAUUUCAGGGAAGUUUCAAAUAAGCAACAAAUUAGAAAAAGUAUGUCUCUCAAAUGAAUGGAAGCCCUUGAAGACAUGGGAAGGUCUGAACUAAUCUGGUUGGUAAGCAGAGGCACCGUGAGCUGUAACAUCUCUCUGUUCCAAACUUUAUCCAAGGGCUACAGGGGCAGAAAUGCUCCUCACUAUGCACUUCUUGCUGGUUUAAAACAGCAAAUGUAGUCCAUGACCAGUUUGAAAACAACUAUGAUAAAUAACCCAAAUUAUAAUGAUCCUAGAGCUAUUUUGGAAUGUUUAUACUUUUGAUACAAUUUUGGUUACAACUGACAACUAUGUUAAUAUCUUAUUGUUCUAUAGAUGUAUAUAUAUAUGCUGCAUUGGAUUUUUCCUUCAAAUGUAAGAAACUGGGAAGAGUGUUGGGGUGAGAUCCCAUCACUAGAGUAAGAUCUCGUGUUAUUCGCAUGAGAGAAGGACAUUUUAGGCUUAAAUUUUUAAACAUAACUGUAAAAUAAAAGCUGCAAACUCAGCAUCUUUCCUACUCUCUAAGUUUAAAAUUACUUCACUUUCCAAAAAUGAUAUAAAGAAACUUGCACAAUUCAGAACAGUUUUAAGGGUGUGAUCAGUUUGAUGUGCUUCCUACAACCUUUAACUUGGAAGUGGCUGGUUAUAUACUUUGUAACAUUUGUUACUGUUGCACACCUUAUGACAUUAAAAUUAUAUUUGCUAGGACUUCAUUAAACUUCUUUGUAAAAAAAAAAAAAAGGGAAAGCAAAACUUCUAAUUUUUCUCUUUUUCAGAAUCUUCCAUCUAGAAAAGCAGACCACUAUCAACUCUAGUUUUCUCAUUUUUAGAGAAAUUUUCAAAGGAAAAGAAAAUAUUUUUAUUACCUUUUCUAAAUUCUGUACAUUUCAGAGUUUGAAAAUACAAUACAACUGUUAACUUUUUAAAUCCUUAUUCAGCACUACCUCUUGGAUGGCAUGGAAUGAAAGCAAUGAAACAGGAAAAGAACAAUAUGUCAAGUUCUCUGUCUCCAAUACAGCUCUGAAACUCAAGACAGCUAUCAUCUUCUUUCAGGUGUAGAAGCCUUCUUUUUAAUAAUAACUAUUGAAAUACCAGCUGUAACUGUUCUGUUACUCUUCUCAGUAAGCAGAAAUAUUUAAAUCUCUAUCAGCAUUCACAGAUAGAUUUUUAGAAAAUCACAGACAUCAUGUGCUGAAUACGCAUCGAAAUAACCAAAAGCAAGACAUUUUCAAAAAGAUUGCUAUGCCUGAUACCAUUAUCACUUAAAAAGAAAAUAAAAAUGAA